GUUCAUUUUAGGUUAAAACGAAUUGUUAAUGACUUACUAGUUUUUUCCUGCUUUUAAGGAGGAGUCAAUGCAAAUGUUCCACUGUCUUCUACAUUUAUUUGUCUGACUGCUUAGAAUAUGACAGCAUAGUGGGCAGAAAGAGUUAUACAAGAUGGACUACUGGACAGCACUGCUACUUUUAACUGUCUGCUGGGCAGGUGUUGAUGGUCAGACUCUGACACAAUCUGAACCAGCAGUUAAAAGACCAGGAGAAUCCCACAGACUGACCUGUACAGCAUCUGGAUAUACCUUUGGAGACUACAGCCUGGUCUGGGUCAGACAGGCUCCUGGAAAACAACUGGAGUGGAUUGCUUACCUAUACUGGAGUGAUGGCAGCACUUCCUAUUCUCAGUCAGUUCAAGGCUGGUUUACCAUCUCCAAGGACAACAGCAAACAGCAGCUGUAUCUGCAGAUGAGCAGUCUGAAGACUGAAGAUUCUGCUGUUUAUUAUUGUGCUCGAAAUCCACAGUGACUGAAGUUGUUUAAGCAGCUGUACAAAAUCCUACAGUCCUCAUCAUGAUACGUUUAUCUUGCAUCAUAUUUGCAGUAUAAUGAAAACAUUAUCCAUACUAAUACUAAUAGAAUUAAAACUAAUCCUGCUGUAAAGUCUCUAUUGCACUUUUCUGAGAAGUUCAUUACAUUUCUCUCACCUAAAUCAGAAUCAGAAUCAGAAUACUUUAUUAAUCCCGAAGGAAAUUAGGGUUACAGCAGGCAGCACGCUAAUGGCGCACUUACAA